UUGGACGGGGAGCACCACAACGGGUGGAGCUUGCGGUUUAAUUGGAUUCAACGCCGGAAAUCUUACCGGGACCGACAGCGAUAUGAAGGCCAGGCUGAAGACUUUGCCGGAUUAGCUGAGAGGUGGUGCAUGGCCGUCGUCAGUUCGUACUGUGAAGCAUCCUGUUAAGUCAGGCAACGAGCGAGACCCACGCCCACAGUUGCCAGCGUACUCUCUGGAGUGACGGGUACACUGUGGGACCGCCGCUGCUAAAGCGGAGGAAGGAAUGGGCAACGGUAGGUCAGUAUGCCCCGAAUAUCCCGGGCUACACGCGAGCUACAAUGGUUGGUACAAUGGGUAUCUACCCCGAAAGGGGACGGGAAUCUCCUAAAACCAAUCUUAGUUCGGAUUGAGGGCUGCAACUCGCCCUCAUGAAGCUGGAAUCCGUAGUAAUCGCGUUUCAACAGAACGCGGUGAAUACGUCCCUGCUCCUU
rnacentral:rRNA from 1 species